rnacentral:rRNA from 1 species
UACCAGACUCCUACGGGAGGCAGCAGUGGGGAAUUUUGGACAAUGGGCGCAAGCCUGAUCCAGCUAUUCCGCGUGUGGGAUGACGGCCCUCGGGUUGUAAACCACUUUAGUAGAGAACGAAAAGGAGCUAUCGAAUAAAUAGCUCUGCUGGCGGUACUCUAAGAAUAAGCACCGGCUAACUACGUGCCAGCAGCCGCGGUAAUACGUAGGGUGCGAGCGUUAUCCGGAUUUAUUGGGUUUAAAGGGUGCGCAGGCGGAGGCACAAGUCAGCGGUAAAAGCGCGGGGCUCAACCCCGCUCCGCCGUUGAAACUGUGUCCCUUGAGUGCGCGAAGGGUAGGCGGAAUGCGUGGUGUAGCGGUGAAAUGCAUAGAUAUCACGCAGAACUCCGAUCGCGAAGGCAGCAUACCGGCGCGCAACUGACGCUCAUGCACGAAAGCGUGGGUAUCGAACAGGAUUAGAUACCCGCGUAA